UGGUCAGGGCGCUGCCAGGAGCCGCUACACAGAGCCCGGCCUCUAAGCACCGCGAGGCCGCCUGCUUUCUGCAGCCGGGGCCCCACAAUCACUCUCUCCCCCGGGAACUUGAUUUUUCAGUAUCACUGCAUUUUAUUUUAUUUUAUUUUAUUUUUUUUUUGUCUUUUGAGGACUGCAUUUUAAAAAAUUGAAAUUCACAGGCCAAAAACAAACAAACAAACAAACAAACAAACAAACAAAAACCCAACCUCAUUGUGGUGACUAAAAGAAUUCUCUCAAGCAAGCUACCGGUUCCCUAAUGAACGGGCUGCCCACACACAGCCCGUGAUUUAUUUCAGCAACAAACUCUGUGCCUGAUCAUUUUUGCACACCAAAGUCCCAAAAAGUGAUUAACAACUGCUUUGAAAAAAACAAAGACUAUCUCAUUUGUUGUUAAAUUCACUUUUUACCUUGGUGGUGUUUUUAACCUACAAAUAACAUGGAUUGUUUUUAAAGCCAGAAUCAAAUAUUUAUUCUUUAUUUGGAUGGUCCUAAGUACCCAUUUCUGUCUUUCCUCAAAAUUUUGACAUCUUCAUUUAAAAAAAAUAGUCUUUAAUACAAGUACUUGGAAUUUGUAAGCCGGCACUUGGCCUGUGUGCCUGAGCCUGGCCAAGGUGAACAUUCCAAUGUAAUGUGGACACAUUGCUGACCUGACCGACGUGGAGGGCUGCUGAGCUCAACUGCGCCAUCCUGCCCAAAGAAUUGGCAGCUCAGUGGUUAAGACUAACUCCGUACUGCUGACUUCACAGGAAGGCUAGGGACAGCUGUGCACGGGGCAGGAAGGAGGCCGCAGAAGCCGGGGCUCUGAAGCACCCUCCGGAGCCAACCGUGCAUGAGCCACUGAGGCCCCCCUGGAGCCUCGUCUCCAUACCCAGCAACCACCCUGAGAGAUGCCGUGGUCCUGUCGGAAGACUCGGUGGCGGGGGCUGCUGUUGCCACCUGCUCAGGCCAUCCUCAACAAAAAGGCUGCAGUU
rnacentral:lncRNA from 1 species